rnacentral:rRNA from 1 species
GAUGAACGCUGACAGAAUGCUUAACACAUGCAAGUCGACUCGAGUCUUCGGACUUGGGUGGCGCACGGGUGAGUAACGCGUAAAGAACUUGCCUCUUAGACCGGGACAACAUCUGGAAACGGAUGCUAAUACCGGAUAUUAUGGUUUUUUCGCAUGGAGGAAUCAUGAAAGCUGGAUGCGCUAAGAGAGAGCUUUGCGUCCCAUUAGCUAGUUGGUGAGGUAACGGCCCACCAAGGCAAUGAUGGGUAGCCGGCCUGAGAGGGUGAACGGCCACAAGGGGACUGAGACACGGCCCUUACUCCUACGGGAGGCAGCAGUGGGGAAUAUUGGACAAUGGACCACAAGUCUGAUCCAGCAAUUCUGUGUGCACGAUGACGUUUUUCGGAAUGUAAAGUGCUUUCAGUCGGGAAGAAGUCAGUGACGGUACCGACAGAAGAAGCGACGGCUAAAUACGUGCCAGCAGCCGCGGUAAUACGUAUGUCGCAAGCGUUAUCCGGAUUUAUUGGGCGUAAAGCGCGUCUAGGCGGCACGGAAAGUCUGAUGUGAAAAUGCGGAGCUCAACUCCGUAUGGCGUUGGAAACUGCCUUACUAGAGUACUGGAGAGGUAGGCGGAACUACAAGUGUAGAGGUGAAAUUCGUAGAUAUUUGUAGGAAUGCCGAUGGGGAAGCCAGCCUACUGGACAGAUACUGACGCUAAAGCGCGAAAGCGUGGGUAGCAAACAGG